GAACGGAGGCGGUUGGUGAACACGAGAGCUAGUGAAAAGAAGAGUUUGUUUGAUUUGUUUCAGCCCCAGGACUGAGGCGUUCAGGUGGCGUGAUUGGCGUGCCCUGUCUGCAAUCCUCCCUUUCAGUAAGUCUCUUCAGCCCCAGGACCGAGGUGUUGAGGUGGCGUGACUGGCGUGAAUUCGGCGUGCCCUGUCUGCAAUCCUGCCUUUCAGUAAGGGGCAGUAAGGACAAGAUCCACCCACCACCCAGUGCAUGCUACAUAUAUGUGUG